rnacentral:rRNA from 1 species
AUUAGAUACCCUGGUAGUCCACGCAGUAAACGAUGAAUGCUAAUUGUCCGUUGCGAAUGAGCGAUGGGUGAUACAGCGAAAGCGUUAAGCAUUCCACCUGGGGAGUACGCCGGCAACGGUGAAACUCAAAGGAAUUGACGGGGGCCCGCACAAGCGGAGGAACAUGUGGUUUAAUUCGAUGAUACGCGAGGAACCUUACCCGGGCUCAAACGCCGUCUGACGUAGGCUGAAAGGCUUAUUUCUUCGGACAGACGGCGAGGUGCUGCAUGGUUGUCGUCAGCUCGUGCCGUGAGGUGUCGGCUUAAGUGCCAUAACGAGCGCAACCCCUGUCGACAGUUGCUAACAGGUUAGGCUGAGGACUCUGUCGAGACUGCCGGCGCAAGCUGUGAGGAAGGCGGGGAUGACGUCAAAUCAGCACGGCCCUUACGUCCGGGGCGACACACGUGUUACAAUGGCAGGUACAGCGGGAAGCCACCCGGCGACGGGGCGCGGAACCCGAAAACCUGUCUCAGUUCGGAUUGGAGUCUGCAACCCGACUCCAUGAAGCUGGAUUCGCUAGUAAUCGCGCAUCAGCCACGGCGCGGUGAAUACGUUCCCGGGCCUUGUACACACCGCCCGUCAAGCCAUGGAAGCCGGGGGUACCUGAAGUACGUGACCGCAAGAAGCGUCCUAAGGUAAAACCGGUGACUGGGGCUAAGUCGUAACAAGGUAAC